rnacentral:lncRNA from 1 species
AUGCCAGGGCUGGCACUAGGAUGUAGGGAGGUGGCACAGGGGAACAGGAUGGCACUAGGGACACAGGGAGGUGGCCCCAUGGCACAGGGAAGUGGCACUGGGGAUCAGGGGACGGCACUGGGAUGGAGGCAGGUGGCACCAGGACACGGAGAGGUGGCACCAGAGGGGUGGCAAAGGGAUGCAGGGAGGUGGCACUGGGACACAGUGAGAGGACACGGGGGAUCAGAGGGGUGGCACUGGGGAUACAGGGAGAGGUCACCGGGGAUCAGAGGGUGGCACUGGGAUGCUGGGAGGUGGCAGCAGGCCACCGGGAGAGGACACGGGGGACCAGGGAGUGGCGCUGGGGACACAAGGAGGGGGCACCGGGGAUCGGGGGGUGGCACUGGGAUGCCGGGAGGUGGCACUGGGACGCAGCGAGAGGACACGGGGGAUCAGGAGGUGGCACUGGGAUGCCGGGAGGUGGCACUGGGACGCAGGGGGUGGCCUCGGGCUCUCACCAGCCUCGGGAGCGGGCUGCCAGUCCUCCCCGCCCAGCUCCCAGCGCUCCGUCGGCAGCUCCUCCAGCUCGCCUGGGGACAGGGACACGCAGAGGGGUGGCAGCACUGGCGUCCCCGGCCCACCCCUAGCAAGGGGACCCCAGGGAGGGAGGAGACGGGGGACAAGGGGCAGGACGGGGGUGACCCCGACCACACCAUGCAGCCCCCCCGGGGACAAAGCAGCGGGGGAGCUGAGGGGACGUGGGUGACAAGCGCUCAGCACAGGACGGGACCCCCGGUGUCCCCCCGCUCACCUCGGUCUCUGCCAUCCUCCUCCUCCUCCUCGGGGGCCCGAGGCUGCCCUGGGGACAGGGACGUCCCCUCUCUGUCCUCACCCCGUGGGGGGUGCGGGGCCACAGGGGGCUCCCAGGGGGUGUCCGGCGGCACCGGUGGCCUCGUGCCCGAGGGCUUCUUGGUGGCCUUGGGCGGCUUCUCCUUGGGUGGCUUCUUGGGCGGCUUCUCCUUGGGCUUCUUGGAGCCUUUGGGGGGUUUCUCGGAGCCUUUGGGGGGUUUCUCGGAGCCUUUCGGGGGCUUCUCGGAGCCUUUCGGGGGCUUCUCUUUGGGCUUCUUGGGGGGCUUGUCCCUGUCGUUGCUCUUGUCCCUGCUCUUGUCCCGCUCCUUGUCCCUGUCCCUGUCCUUGUCCUUUUUGGAGCCCCGCGCUCUCUCCUUGGGCUUCUUGGUGGGUUUGGGGGCUUUGUCCUUCCGGGCCUUCUUGGGCGCCUCGGGCUCCGGCAGC